rnacentral:rRNA from 1 species
UACGGGGGGGGCAAGCGUUGUUCGGAAUUACUGGGCGUAAAGGGCUCGUAGGUGGCCAACUAAGUCAGACGUGAAAUCCCUCGGCUUAACCGGGGAAUGGCGUCUGAUACUGGAUGGCUUGAGUUCGGGAGAGGGAUGCGGAAUUCAUGGUGUAGCAGUGAAAUGCGUAGAGAUCAUGAGGAAGACCAGUGGCGAAGGCGGGUCUCUGGACAGUUCCUGACACUGAGGCACGAAGGCCAGGGGAGCAAACGGG